rnacentral:rRNA from 1 species
GCAUAUCAAUAAGCGGAGGAAAAGAAACUAACAAGGAUUCCCCUAGUAACUGCGAGUGAAGCGGGAAAAGCUCAAAUUUAAAAUCUGGCGGUCUUUGGCCGUCCGAGUUGUAGUCUGGAGAAGCGUUUUCCGUGCUGGACCGUGUACAAGUCUCCUGGAACGGAGCGUCGUAGAGGGUGAGAAUCCCGUCUUUGACACGGACUACCAGUGCUUUGUGAUGCGCUCUCGAAGAGUCGAGUUGUUUGGGAAUGCAGCUCAAAAUGGGUGGUGAAUUCCAUCUAAAGCUAAAUAUUGGCGAGAGACCGAUAGCGAACAAGUACCGUGAGGGAAAGAUGAAAAGCACUUUGGAAAGAGAGUGAAACAGUACGUGAAAUUGUUGAAAGGGAAACGCUUGAAGUCAGUCGCGUCGACCGAGACUCAGCCUCGCCUUGGCGUGGUGUACUUCUCGGCCGACGGGCCAGCAUCAAUUUUGAUCCUCGGAAAAAGGCUUGGGAAAGGUGGCACCUUCGGGUGUGUUAUAGUCCCUCGUCGCAUACGGGGGUCGGGAUUGAGGUACUCAGCGCGCAAGCGCUCGGGAUGCUGGCGUAAUGGCUUUAAACGACCCGUCUUGAAACACGGACCAAGGAGUCUAACAUGCCCGCGAGUGUUCGGGUGGAAAACCCGUGCGCGUAAUGAAAGUGAAAGUUGGGAUCCCUGUCGUGGGGAGCACCGACGCCCGGACCAGACCUUCUGUGACGGAUCUGCGGUAGAGCGUGUAUGUUGGGACCCGAAAGAUGGUGAACUAUGCCUGAAUAGGGUGAAGCCAGAGGAAACUCUGGUGGAGGCUCGUAGCGAUUCUGACGUGCAAAUCGAUCGUCAAAUUUGGGUAUAGGGGCGAAAGACUAAUCGAACCAUCUA